rnacentral:tRNA from 1 species
GGCUCAAUGGUCUAGUGGUAAGACGUAUGCUGUAAAGCUAGGAUUCCCGGAGUUCGACUUCUGGUUAGGUCG